CGAAGGCAAACGGAAGGCAAGCCGAAAAUUCAUAAAAAAAGAUAUCCCGGGGUCGAAGAAAAAAUUUAAGAGGAGGAAGAGGCUCUACAGAGAUACGGAGAAAAUCAGCGGAUUUAAAUCCUGAGCAAGGCAUGGACGGAAUGCGGAAGAAAUGGCCCAGGGAUCGCGUUACGACCUUCUUCCGGGUACUACUCCGGAUAGCGAAGGGUCAGAGGGAGGUGUCCAUGUCGCAACUCGGUUACAAAUGGUCUCGCAACGGGAAGUGAGAGAGGUCGGCUCGUGAAAUGGAAGGAGGCACCGAGACCGAAAGAAUCGCCGGAGAUGGAUGGCGGCUCUAUGACUCCUCUUUAUGACUCCUUGCGAAAGGGGUGCCGCGCUGAAUAACUCCGGCUCUUCCUUCGCCGGAAGAUGAAUGAACGAGUUUCGCGGCUGCGAGCAUCGGCCUUAUCAAAGGCGACAUUUCCGGAGACGAAGAAAUCGCUUGGAAGAAUGAGCCGCCUUGCGAAAAGGGGUGACACAAUGAACGACUGCGAACUCCUCGUUCGGAUGGCGAAGAGAGUUUCGUGACGACUCACCAGAAGGAGGAGAAAUCCGGAAUUCAUGCCGGGAUUUAGAAGACGAAGAAGCGGAAAGCUGCUUCAGGGUCCGACCCCGAAGAGGAGCUCUCAUUCCGGG